UCGCGGCCUAUCAGCUUGUUGGUGGGGUAACGGCCCACCAAGGCAUCGACGGGUAGCUGGUCUGAGAGGACGAUCAGCCACACUGGGACUGAGACACGGCCCAGACUCCUACGGGAGGCAGCAGUGGGGAAUAUUGCGCAAUGGGCGAAAGCCUGACGCAGCAACGCCGCGUGGGGGAUGAAGGCCUUCGGGUUGUAAACCCCUUUCAGCAGGGACGAAAAUGACGGUACCUGCAGAAGAAGCCCCGGCCAACUACGUGCCAGCAGCCGCGGUAACACGUAGGGGGCAAGCGUUGUCCGGAUUUAUUGGGCGUAAAGAGCUCGUAGGCGGUUGCGUAAGUCGGAUGUGAAAACUCAGGGCUCAACCCGGAGACGCCAUCCGAUACUGCGCUGACUAGAGUCCGGUAGAGGAGCAUGGAAUUCCUGGUGUAGCGGUGAAAUGCGCAGAUAUCAGGAGGAACACCAGUGGCGAAGGCGGUGCUCUGGGCCGGUACUGACGCUGAGGAGCGAAAGCGUGGGUAGCGAACAGGAUUAGAUACCCUGGUAGUCCACGCCGUAAACGUUGGGCACUAGGUGUGGGGCCUCCUUAACGGGUUCCGUGCCGUAGCUAACGCAUUAAGUGCCCCGCCUGGGGAGUACGG
rnacentral:rRNA from 1 species